UUCCAGGAACCUGAUAGCAUACAAAGAAGAUAUAAUUCAGAUUACAUAUCCAAAAAACAAUUAAAAAAAAAAAAGGUCAAAACCAUGUUCCCAAAACCAGCAACAGGAACAAAAAUCCCUGUAACUAUGAAUGCCUACAACGGGAUCUGUUCCAUCUUUAUGACAUAUAUGUUUUUAUCUUCAACUGCAUGAUACUUUUUAUCCCUGGUUCCCACCCAACUUUGCGUACCUAACUCCUAACUUAUCUUUGGAAACUCCCUAAGGUUUUCUUUGACAGUCUCUCCCCAACCCUCUACUGCCAAUUAAGGUGCCCACCUCUCCACUCUUGUGCUCUCAAACAGUGCAAGCUUCAUGUAUUGACUCUCCUGUCUCAGCCUCCCCAAUAGCUGGGAUUACUGGUGCACACCAUCGCACCUAGCUCAUUUUUGUAUUUUUAGUGGAGACAGGGUUUCACCAUGUUGGCCAGGCUGGUCGCGAACUCCUGACCUCAAGUGAUCUGCCCGCCUCAGCUUCCCAAAGUGCUGGGAUUACAGGCAUGAGCCACCGCGCCCGGCCA
rnacentral:lncRNA from 1 species